AGUGAACGCUGGCGGUAGGCCUAACACAUGCAAGUCGAACGGUAGCACAGGAGAGCUUGCUCUCUGGGUGGCGAGUGGCGGACGGGUGAGGAAUACAUCGGAAUCUACUCUGUCGUGGGGGAUAACGUAGGGAAACUUACGCUGAUACCGCAUACGACCUACGGGUGAAAGCAGGGGAUCUUCGGACCUUGCGCGAUUGAAUGAGCCGAUGUCGGAUUAGCUAGUUGGCGGGGUAAAGGCCCACCAAGGCGACGAUCCGUAGCUGGUCUGAGAGGAUGAUCAGCCACACUGGAACUGAGACACGGUCCAGACUCCUACGGGAGGCAGCAGUGGGGAAUAUUGGACAAUGGGCGCAAGCCUGAUCCAGCCAUACCGCGUGGGUGAAGAAGGCCUUCGGGUUGUAAAGCCCUUUUGUUGGGAAAGAAAUCCAGCUGGCUAGUACCCGGUUGGGAUGACGGUACCCAAAGAAUAAGCACCGGCUAACUUCGUGCCAGCCGCCGCGGUAA
rnacentral:rRNA from 1 species